CCCAGGCACGGUGGCGCGUGCCUAUAGUCACAGCUAAUCGGGAGGCUCAGGUGGCAAGAUUGCUUGAGCCCAGGAGUUCUGGGCUGCAGUGCGUUAUGCUGAUCUGGUGUCUGCACUAACUUCAGCAGGGGGCCACCAGGUUGCCUAAGGAGGGGUGAACCGGCCCAGGUCGGAAAUGAAGCAGGUCAAAACUCCCGUGCUGAUCAGUAGUGGGAUCGAGCCUAUGAAUAGCCACUGCACUCCAGCCUGGGCAACAUAGUGAGACCCUAUUUCU
rnacentral:SRP_RNA from 1 species